AAUAGAGGCGCGCUGAACGAAGAGUAACUGCGGGAGACACCGGGUCGAUGAACGCGGGCGAAAGGCGUCAGCGCCGAAGGGCGGCAUUCACCGGAGGAAGCCGGCCCUGGCCAUGCGGUUAAUAGUCGUAUGGCUGUCAUCACAAAGCGGAUGAAGCGCUAUU
rnacentral:ncRNA from 1 species